ACAAGAUGGUAGAAGGAAAAAGGAAUACCGGAAUGCAGAAUGCAGAGAAAGAGAACUGCAGAUAAACGAUAAGGCAGAAAGAUGCUGCCUGGCCUGCUGAGUUCCUCCAGCAUUUUGUGUGUGUUGCUUGGAUUUCCAGCAUCUGCAGAUUUUCUUUUUGUUUCCUUCUGGUACUUCAUGAUGUCCCUGGGUGGCAUACGAACACAAGCUUUCCGCCUUAUCUCUUGUUAUAUGAGUUUGCUGAGUCCGAAGGUUAAAGCUAAAGGUCGGGGAGUCUGGAGGUCAGAGCCAAAGGUCAGCGAGUCCAGCGGUCAGUGAGACUGGAGGUCAAAGCUAAAGGUCGGCAAAUCCGGAGGUCAAAGUCCCUCGG